ensembl:misc_RNA 7SK 7SK RNA
GGUUGUGAGGGUGACCUGGCUGCAACUCUGUCAGUCCAUUGAUCGCCAGGGUGGAUUAGGCCGAUCUGGCUGGCUAGGUGGGUGUCCCUUCCCUCCCUCACUGCUCCUUGUGUGGCCCUCCUGAAGCUUCACCAGUUGAAGAGAACGGCCUUCUCCAAAUAAUGAUGGGCUGGUCUUUGGUCGAGGGUAUAUGAGUAGCUGCACUACCCUGCUGCAACCUCCAAACAAGCUCUCAAGGUUCAAGAAUGCUAAUAGCAAUAUGAUUUGUGAAAGCCUCAAACUAGAUAGAACCCAAAUAGCCAUCCAUAAUAUUGAUAAGAUGUUU